GACGAACGCUGGCGGCGUGCCUAAUACAUGCAAGUAGAACGCUGAAGAGAGGAGCUUGCUCUUCUUGGAUGAGUUGCGAACGGGUGAGUAACGCGUAGGUAACCUGCCUUGUAGCGGGGGAUAACUAUUGGAAACGAUAGCUAAUACCGCAUAACAAUUGAUGACCCAUGUCAUUUAUUUGAAAGGGGCAAAUGCUCCACUACAAGAUGGACCUGCGUUGUAUUAGCUAGUAGGUGAGGUAACGGCUCACCUAGGCGACGAUACAUAGCCGACCUGAAAGGGGGAUCGGCCAAACUGGGACUGAGACACGGACCAGACUACUACGAGAGGCAGCAGUAGGGAAUCUUCGGCAAUGGGGGCAAGCCGGACCGAGCAAAGCCGCGUGAGUGAAGAAGGUUGUCGGAUCGUAAAGCUCUGUUGUAAGUCAAGAACGAGUGUGAGAGUGGAAAGUUCACACUGUGACGGUAGCUUAACAGAAAGGGACGGCUAACUACGUG
rnacentral:rRNA from 1 species